AGAGUUUGAUCAUGGCUCAGAAUCAACGCUGGCGGCGUGCCUAACACAUGCAAGUCGAGCGAGAAAGGGGGGCAACCCCCGAGUACAGCGGCAGACGGGUGAGUAACACGUGAACAAUCUGCCCUCGAGUGGGGAACAACACCGCGAAAGCGGUGCUAAUACCGCAUAACAUCCCGGGUUCGCAUGGAACUGGGAUCAAAGGCGCAAGUUGCUCGAGGAGGAGUUCGCGGCUGAUUAGCUAGUUGGUGAGGUAACGGCCCACCAAGGCGACGAUCAGUAGCCGGCCUGAGAGGGUGAACGGCCACACUGGAACUGAGACACGGUCCAGACUCCUACGGGAGGCAGCAGUGGGGAAUUUUGCGCAAUGGGCGAAAGCCUGACGCAGCAACGCCGCGUGGAGGAUGAAGGCCUUCGGGUCGUAAACUCCUGUCAGGGGGGACGAAACCGGGAAACCGGGUGACUGUACCCCCGGAGGAAGCCACGGCUAACUCCGUGCCAGCCGCCGCGGUAAUUCA
rnacentral:rRNA from 1 species